GACGUGGUGGUGCAGUGGUUAAGUGCACUUGACUUUGGAUCGAAAGGUCGUGGGUUUAAGUCCUUGCCGUGGCU